AAUCUAUUAUUAAGUUUUAAUAUAUUAAAUUGCAAAUUUAAUGACGGUUAAAUCCUAAGACUU
rnacentral:tRNA from 1 species